rnacentral:rRNA from 1 species
GGCACUGAGAUACGGGCCAGACUCCUACGGGAGGCAGCAGUAAGGGAUAUUGCGCAAUGGACGAAAGUCAGACGCAGCGACGCCGCGUGGGCGAUGAAGGCCUUCGGGUUGUAAAGCCCUUUUAUGGGGGAAGAGACAAAGGACGGUACCCCAGGAAUAAGUCCCGGCUAACUACGUGCCAGCAGCCGCGGUAAAACGUAGGGGACAAGCGUUAUCCGGAUUCACUGGGCGUAAAGAGCGUUGAGGCGGUUCCCGUAAGUUGGGCGUGAAAGCUCCGGGCUUAACUCGGAGAUGUCGUUCAAUACUGCGGGGCUUGAGGACAGCAGAGGAAGGUGGAAUUCCCCGGUGUAGUGGUGAAAUGCGUAGANAUCGGGAGGAACACCCGUGGCGAAGGCGGCCUUCUGGGCUGUUCCUGACGCUGAAGGCGAAAGCUAGGGGAGCGAACGGGAUUAGAUACCCCGGUAGUCCUAGCUGUAAACGAUGGAUGCUGGGUGUGGGGGGUGUAAAUUCCCUCUGUGCCGAAGCAAACGCGUUAAGCAUCCCGCCUGGGGACUACGGCCGCAAGGCUAAAACUCAAACGAAUUGACGGGGGCCCGCACAAGCAGCGGAGCGUGUGGUUUAAUUCGAUGCUACACGAAGAACCUUACCUGGGUUUGACAUGCACGUGGUAGGGAACCGAAAGGGGACCGACCUUCGGGAGCGUGCACAGGUGCUGCAUGGCUGUCGUCAGCUCGUGCCGUGAGGUGUCGGGUUAAGUCCCGUAACGAGCGCAACCCUUGCCCUUAGUUACAAGUGUCUAAGGGGACUGCCCGGGACAACUGGGAGGAAGGUGGGGAUGACGUCAAGUCAGCAUGGCCUUUAUAUCCAGGGCUACACACACGCUACAAUGGCCGGUACAAUAGGUUGCGAAGUCGUGAGGCGGAGCCAAUCCUCAAAGCCGGUCUCAGUUCGAAUUGCAGUCUGCAACUCGACUGCAUGAAGCUGGAGUUGCUAGUAAUCGCAGGUCAGCUAUACUGCGGUGAAUACGUCCCCGGGCCUUGUACACACCGCCCGUCACGUCAUGGAAGCUGGCAACGCACUGAAGCCGGUGAGCUAACCCGAAAGGGAGGCAGCCGUCGAGGGUGGGGCUGGUAACUGGGACGAAGUCG